rnacentral:lncRNA from 1 species
UUUCUGGUUUCUGUAAGGCCUCUGCAUAAGGUUCAUUUACAGUUGAUGGUGGGCUUUUAUCAUCAGAGGCGGCAUCAUGAUUGGCACAACUCAGACUAGGCAUUUCCAGUUUCCUGGUUUCAUCUACUGUAUCACCCUUCCCCUCUGUUUGAACUUCUUCAGGAAAUUGUCCGCUGCAAAAUGUUGCUUGAUCCUUUGAGGUCACAAUUUUGACAUCAACCUCUUGCAAAUCUUGAAAACGCAGAGCACUGGGUUCUUCUUCUUCAUGCUGAGAAUUAGGGAUGCUCUCUGAGGUAGACUCAAUUUCAGUGCCAUCCUUUUGAGGUGGACUGCUACAAUCUGCUUCAUGCUGAGAAUUUGGGAUGCUCUCUGAGGUAGACUCAAUUUCAGUGCCAUCCUUUUGAGGUGGACUGCUACAAUCUGCUUGCUUCUCUCCAUUGCAAACACUUGUUUCAGAAUCAGUGGAGCUGUCUUUAGGACCGUCAGAUACUUCCACUGAACAGCUUGUAGGAUCAACUGUCUUGUUUUCCAGGCUGUAUUCUGUGCUAGACAUUGAUGUUGGCUUGUCAUUCUGAGGU